UUGCAUUAGAAUUAGAAUCUAAUAAUACUAAUAUUAAUCCAUUUAACAUAAUUUUAUCAACU
rnacentral:tRNA from 1 species